rnacentral:lncRNA from 1 species
AAAGAGGUGACUGCUUCCUGUGGUACAGCCUCUGUCACCAAGACAGGGGUAUUCUGACUUUUUUCAACAAUUUACUUUGAAUAGAUAUAGUAAUGGGGACGUCCAGCCACAAAUUUCCUUUCAUUUGGAGCUCUGAAGGCUGCUCCCCAGAAUUCAAGAUGACCUGCACUUUGCAGGAGAAGGUUGCCAUGAUUCCAGUGAUGAGAAGGGAGGAGAAAGGCAUGCUUCAGAAGCCCUGCAAAAUGACAGCCUCCUGCUAAGUCUGCAUCAGCCACACUUCUCACUAAGUUAAAGAUGGGUAACAUACCUGUUCCUGGCAGUGGCCCAAAAGUGCUUACAUUUCGUCCCUCACCACAGCAUGAUGGAAAUUGUGCUUCUCUAUUUCUUUCAGAGGGCGUAUCCUUUUACAAUGAGAGCUCUGAAAAUAUUGUGGCCACUCUACUAAUGGAGGCUUAGAAAGCUGAGAGGCUGUCUGCUGUAUUCUGAACUGUGGUUCUGAAGAGGUGGAACACACUGCACUUGAGCCAGGGUCUUGGGAAAAGCUGAGGCUAGAGGAUGUGCAUGGUCUGGCUUGAGACCCCUAGUCCACUUGGGAUGCUGAUGAGGUUCCAGAAAGAACCAAAAGAAUACCCUGGGUGAUUUGGCUAUAACUCUCCACCAUAUUUUGUCUAAUAAAGGAGGCAUAGAUUUCCUCAGACUUUCAGAGCCUCUCUCAGACAGGUCCUGACUCAUUUC